CAAUGUGAGUGAUGUGCACUGAAGUCACCUCCACUGAGUAUUCUGUGCUGGGGAAAGUGAAUUUGCAGAUGUCAAAGCCAAGUGAAGUCUCCUUGAGUGCAGCGGUGCAUCGUUUUGGGA
rnacentral:lncRNA from 1 species